AGGAGCCGUAUGAGAUGAAAAUCUCAUGUACGAUUCUGUAACGGAGAUUUUUUGAAUUGAAUGACGACCGUAAC
rnacentral:ncRNA from 1 species